UGGUAGCUCAGCUGGAUAGAGCAACGGCCUUCUAAGCCGUCGGUCGCAGGUUCGAAUCCUGUCC
rnacentral:tRNA from 1 species